UAAAGGCCACUAGGCUAAAUUAACCUAGUGGCUAUUUUAUUAAUUGAUAAAACAAAAACCAGAUAGUCUUUCCAAGAAAAGGAAUACGGAAAAGAGUAGCCUAGAUGAAGUUGUCUUUCUCUUUGGCUCGUUGGUGAUGCCAUUUCCGACCAAGCUUGCUUCCAAUCGGUGUUGCUGAUUCAGCAUCCUCAUCUCCUUCCUUUUUCCCAUCAGUUGAGUGGCUAUCUCCAUUUGAUGUUUCAGCAUCCUCUAUCCCAUCAACUGUUAGAUCAUUGCUCAAAUCAAGAGAAGCAGAUUCUGCCCCUGGCUUUGCUGCCUUUAUUCUUUUUUCCUCCUGCACAUGAAUGAUCUCAAUGGAUUGAUCUUCUUCUACUGUGGUACACUGAUAGGCUCGGACUUUGGUUCCUCUUUUUGGGCCGAAAUUCUGGAUGAACCACCCAACAACUACUCACAUCAUGCCCUUGUAAUUUACAAUUUAUGCAAUAUUUAGGAAGAUAAUUGUAUUGUAUUCUUUGCCAUUUGGAUUUUAUCUCCCCAGUCUCCUCAUCUACACAACUUAUAUGUAUCCUCUUUGGCAAUUCCUUUAACAGAUCAACUUCCACUUUCACCCGAGCACAACUUGGUCUAGUUUGAUUCUUAGUAGCUUUAUCAAUCACCAAAUGGUGUGCCCACUGCCUGGGCCAUUGAGAACAUCGAUUCUUUAUCAAAAAGAUUGGUAGGUAAUCCAGGAAAAGAGAUCCAUGCUACUGCAAUAAUUGUUUCCUCCUCG